AAGAACAAAGGAAGAAAGGAAGAACACAAACCCUAGGUGGGAAAAUUGAAGAAAAAGUGUGGGAUUUCAAGGGAUUAAGCUAAUAAAGGUAAAAUUUUGUGAUUUUAUCUUGUGAUUUACACUACCCAUGCUUUCUUUUUCAUUUUUCAUGUUUAGAACUCAAGUUUGCAUGAUGAACCCAUGCUGGCCGAAUUUGAAAGGAGGGGUUUUGAGCAUUGAUUUUGCUAGAUUUCAAGCUAAUUAAGUGUUUUUGGUUAUUUGGUAAUGGAAAGUAUGAAAAUCUAGCAAGGAAUCACUUUGUUCUUCACAAACCCACAAGAGGCCAAAUUUUCUAGGGAGGAUAUUGAGGCUGAAAUUGAUGAUAUUUCAUGAUAUUUUGGUGGUAUUUAAUGAUUGGUGAAGCUAAAAAUUUAAUGGGAAAUUUUGGCAUGAAAAUAUGAAUUUUUACCUAAUGUAUAGACAUGUGUGAUUUAUGGUUCGGACUGAUAAAUUGAAUCAUAUUCAUAGUCAUUGAGGUAUUUUAAGUAUAAUUGGAGUGUAGAAAGUGAAAGAAAUCGAUUGGGAGUUAAAUUGGAGGUUUUAGACAAUUACACUGAGAAUAAUGCGAAUUAGGUCGAAUACUGUAUUUAAACGGCUAUUCGGACAUUUUGCAUCACAUUUCGUGCAUUCAUAUAGAUUUAUAGAGCCUGAAAUAGUUUAUGAUAAAUUGACACAAUUUAUUGAAAUUCGUAUCAUGCAUGAUGUAUAAGUGGUGAGCCCUCUAACAAAGGUAAAGAGAUUGUGCUCGAAGACCGGGAAUAGGAGUAUAUCGAACUCCUAGUACAGUGAGUAACCUUAUCAUCAUUUUAAUUAUCUAAAGUGGUCUUUUUAUUCGAUUUUGUGAAUUUUAUGAAAAAUGAAUUAAAUGAUUAAUUUUUCAGUUUUAUAAAUAAAAUGUGAUUUAAUGAAAUGAUUUCAUAAAAUUGUCUUGAAAUUGGAUGAUGGCUUUGAAAAUAGAGUAACUAGAGAUCACUUGAUGUGUUGUAAUUUAUGGUUUAAUUGAUGGCUUAUGAUUAUGUGUUGGCAUGACUGGUUGGGAUUGUGGUUUGUGAACUGUAUGAAUUGUUCUGUUUUACAUUUACAGGCUGGGUAGUAUAAUAUUAGUCAUGUCAUGCUGUCAAAAUUUUAUUGUAUGUUGGGUUUAGCUUGCUACAGUGGGCGGGUUCUGUGGACCAGUCUAUUAGAGGGGCACAGAAUACGGUUAUAUAUGUACCUCGGUUGGAGAGGUGCGUAGGGUAUCUCCUGAGGUAUGGUUAGAGUUCACGUCACGCCGAACCACCUCGUGAUGAUGAACUUCGCUAACGCCAAGGAACGAUAAUGUUUUCAAAACGAAAUAAAAAUAUGUUUUACGUGUAUACAAAAUGUUUAAUAGCCUUGGCGGGCUCGAGUGUACGCCUCUGAUCAAGGUGUCACCGAGUACUAUUUGAUGGCAUGAGCCAAAUGUUUAUGAAAGUCAUAAGCCUUAUUGAGAAAUUAAAUGAAAUACAACCGUUUGCAUGGGUUAGGAUGAGUUUUCAAGUUAUGAAAUACGUAUUGUGAUGGGAUAUUUUGAUUGUCUCUUUUUACUCGGCUUUAGCUUAUUUAAAUGAUGUUUGUUUACUCACUGGAUUUUAUAAUCUCACCACCCUCCUUUCCAUCCAUUUCAGGCUCAGAAUAGACUGUAGAUAGCUGAUAUCGUCGGGGACUACAGUUGGACUUGAACCAUCCAAAAACUGUAGGUUCAUUUCUUUUGAUACUUUUGGUCAUUCAUGGGCCCACGUGUCACUGUAAAUUUAAUUUUAUACUUUGGUUAUCUGUAUUAUAGUACGUAUGAAUUUAUUUAGCUUUUACAUUACAAAAAAAAUUAUUUACCGAUGACUCCAUAAAUAUUGUUUUACAAGAAAUUAGAAUAUUUUGUUGAAUAUUUUUAUUUUAU
rnacentral:lncRNA from 1 species